rnacentral:rRNA from 1 species
GGACUCGAAGGACGAACGGCUGGCGGCGUGCCUAACACAUGCAAGUCGAGCGGAGUCAGUAAGAGGAAGUUUCGGAUGGAAUCUUGUUGAUUUAGCGGCGGACGGGUGAGUAACGCGUGAGCGACCAACCUUGCACAGGGGGAUAACGGACCGAAAGGUUCACUAAUACCGCAUGAGACCACGGUGUUGCAUGACACAGGGGUCAAAGGAGCAAUCCGGUGCAAGACGGGCUCGCGUCCGAUUAGGUAGUUGGAGGGGUAACGGCCCACCAAGCCUAUGAUCGGUAGCCGACCUGAGAGGGUGAUCGGUCACAUUGGAACUGAGAUACGGUCCAAACUCCUACGGGAGGCAGCAGUGGGGAAUAUUGGGCAAUGGGGGGAAAAACCCCUGACCCAGCAACGCCGCGUGAAGGAAGAAGGUUUUCGGAUUGUAAACUUCUGUCCUUGGUGAAGAGAAGAAGACGGCAGCCAAGGAGGAAGCCCCGGCUAACUACGUGCCAGCAGCCGC